rnacentral:rRNA from 1 species
AUUGAACGCUGGCGGAAUGCUUUACACAUGCAAGUCGAACGGCAGCACGGACUUCGGUCUGGUGGCGAGUGGCGAACGGGUGAGUAACAUAUCGGGACGUAUCCAAUAAUGGGGGAUAACGAGUCGAAAGAUUCGCUAAUACCGCAUACGCCCUACGGGGGAAAGCUGGGGACCUUUGGGCCUGGCGUUAAUGGAGCGGCCGAUAUCUGAUUAGCUAGUUGGUGAGGUAAAGGCUCACCAAGGCGACGAUCAGUAGCUGGUCUGAGAGGACGACCAGCCACACUGGAACUGAGACACGGUCCAGACUCCUACGGGAGGCAGCAGUGGGGAAUUUUGGACAAUGGGCGCAAGCCUGAUCCAGCCAUUCCGCGUGAGUGAAGAAGGCCUUCGGGUUGUAAAGCUCUUUCGCAAGGGAAGAAAACUUAGCCACUAACAUUGGUUGAGGUUGACGGUACCUUGAUAAGAAGCACCGGCUAACUACGUGCCAGCCGCCGCGGUAA